UUCCGGGCGCGGCGGGCGGGGACCGCGCGGGGGGGAGGAGGGCGGGGCGGCCGCGCGGGCGGAGGCGCGCGCCCCGGGUCCCCCGCCCCGGCGCCCGGCAAAAGUUCGGAGCGCAGCGAGGGCUCCCCGGCGCCGGAGCGCGGCAACGCACGCGCCCGACAACUAGCGGCAAGGCCCCGGGAGCCCGGACGCCGGCGCCUCGGGCGGCGAGCGGCCCCGCCCUCUCCUUCGGCGGCCCCGGGGAGGAGGGCGAGGGUGGGGGCCGGGGGACCCCGCGAGCCGAGCCUGCUUCCCGCCCCGGGAGCCUCCAACACCCCUCCCCCGCGCCCCCCCCCUCCCACCCGCCGUGGCCCGGCACCGCCCGGGGCGUCAGGCCUCCCGGUCGGGGUUGGAAGUUUCCCGGCGUCGGAGCCACUGAGCUCGCUUUUCCGCGUCCCCGGGAGCCGGGGCUCGGGGUGGGGGCCGACUCCCCUCCGAGCUCAAAGCGGGGAGUCGCCGCGGGGCGCGGAGGACUAGUGGGUGCACGGGCGGCGGGGCCGGGGCUGCCCGGCGGGUCGCGCCCCCCUGAACUGGGAGCUCCCGGAGGGGAGGGGCCGCAGAGUCCCCCGGUCGCGCAGCCCCCGGGCCCACUGUGGCUGGCAGGCUGCUCCUAAAAGAGCCACCCUAGGGCGGCGUCUCAGGGCCUUGGUGGAAACUGGGGGGCGGCGGGGGGGGGGGGCUCCAGGCCGGGGCUGUGAGGCUUCCCUCCUCCCCCACUCCUAGCCAAUGUCACCGCGCCUGGAUCUGCGGAGUCAAGACAGAGAACCGCGUGAGGCCGCGACCGGGCGCUGACACGGCGGCCGGCUGCCAAACGCAGAGAGCGGGGCCGCGGGAGACUGCCGCGGUCCGGUCCGGCGCCGCCGCCCCGGCCUGGGGGUGGAGGUCUGCCGCGGAGAGCCCCCGACCUCGGGGAAGACGGUGUGCGGCGGGCAACAGCCUCGCGGAAGAGGCUGUGCGCGGAGGGCGCUGCGGUGAGCCCGGGUUGGAAGAGUUGCCCCUUUGACAGAAGAAACCGUUUGGGUCGUGGGGGCGAUGCGGGUCCCGCGAGGGGCACGACCACGCGUCUCUCUGCCCCCGCUCCCUCCUUUCCCUUUCCACCGCUGUUGACAGCGUGCCCACCCGGGGCCGGCCCGGGCAAGGCCCCCGGGGUCCCAAGGUGGACGCGACCAGGCAGACGAAACCACGCGGGGGGGGGGGGGGGCGGCUAGCUUAAGGACCCCUGGCUUGGGAGGGCGAGCGGAGGGGCUCAGUAGGGGAACACGGUCAAAAAUGCCCUGGGUGCGCGGUGGGGCCGGAGCCAGGUUGACCUGCGAGACCUCGUGAGCCUGUCUCACUGGGCGAGACCCUCCGUGGCGAUCACGCGGACCUCCAGUGUCAUCGGAGCCGGCUCAGAACCCAGCGUCCGCAGGGCUCACGAGGGUGCGGGGGGCGGCGGACAGCGACUUCUGGCGAAGACGCAUCCACGCCUGAGCGCUCCCUGAGCUAGCAGUGAACUCAGAAAUUUGGAUCCAAAUAGCACCGGGAUGGGGUUUUCCCUUGAAAGAUAAAUUUGUGGAGCCGUUUACUCCAAAUAAGAACUAUCUGGCCAUUUGCCAGUGACCAGACUCCAAACCCGGGCUGACCGUUUUCAAACCCUUUUAGAAACGCACCCCUUUUACCACAAAGACAAUGGAUUCUCAGUGUCGCCAAAAGAACACAAAAUGAGGCAUAUGUAUUUUUAAUAAAGUCAACACUUACAAGUUACGUGUACAAGAUCUGCAGAGCAAGGAGAAAGUGGCUUAUGAAAACUGCCAACACGCCCAGGAUAACUGUAAAUCAACAUUUUGAGAAACUGUAUCGGAUCCACGACGAAGCCCACCCCACCGUUCAGAACCAGGGCUGGAGGGAGGAUGGACUGGGAGAGUGGUUUUAAACCUUUGCACGUCCGUCUGGAAUUCAGCACACAAUUACUGUGAAGUUACCCUGUUAUUAAAAUUAAGAUAACCGUAAGUCUUGAUGAUAUAAACGGCUCUGAAGGAUCUGCUUCUCCAAAUAUGUUGCCCCGUGGGCACAGAGAGCUAGCCCAUGUGAGGGGAAUGAAAAAUGCUUCUUAUUUUUUAUUUUCUCGUAGGAAAGGCAUUGUGGUUUGGGGUAAAGAGCAGAUUCUGAUACCAGACCCGGCUUCUUGUUAUGACUCCACCACUGCUGAAUUGGAAGCCAAAGGUUGUACAUUUUGAAUGUGUAUUACUGUGGAUAUACUCAGGCAUACUGUGGGUAUAACCUUAAUUCGGGGGGGAGAAGGUUUUUUAAACCCAAUGGGAGAAAAACACUAAUUAUAGGGAACGCAUUAAUUUUGCUGCCCGUUACAAACGAUUCCCCACUAGAAUCGAGAGAGAUGCUUGCAAAUAAAGAAGAAAAAGCAGUGUGUUUAUCAAUUUUGUUAACCCUGUUGCCCUUCCCCCUCCCCGGGCCGGUAGCAAUAAAGCUCAUUAACAUGAAAA